rnacentral:rRNA from 1 species
AGAGUUUGAUCCUGGCUCAGGAUGAACGCUGGCGGCGUGCUUAACACAUGCAAGUCGAACGGGAAAUAUUUCAUUGAGACUUCGGUGGAUUUGAUCUAUUUCUAGUGGCGGACGGGUGAGUAACGCGUGGGUAACCUGCCUUAUACAGGGGGAUAACAGUCAGAAAUGGCUGCUAAUACCGCAUAAGCGCACAGAGCCGCAUGGCUCAGUGUGAAAAGCUCCGGUGGUAUAAGAUGGACCCGCGUUGGAUUAGCUUGCUGGUGGGGUAACGGCCCACCAAGGCGACGAUCCAUAGCCGGCCUGAGAGGGUGAACGGCCACAUUGGGACUGAGACACGGCCCAGACUCCUACGGGAGGCAGCAGUGGGGAAUAUUGCACAAUGGGGGAAACCCUGAUGCAGCGACGCCGCGUGAAGGAAGAAGUAUCUCGGUAUGUAAACUUCUAUCAGCAGGGAAGAUAAUGACGGUACCUGACUAAGAAGCCCCGGCUAACUACGUGCCAGCAGCCGCGGUGAUACGUAGGGGGCGAGCGUUAUCCGGAUUCAUUGGGCGUAAAGCGCGCGUAGGCGGCCCGGCAGGCCGGGGGUCGAAGCGGGGGGCUCAACCCCCCGAAGCCCCCGGAACCUCCGCGGCUUGGGUCCGGUAGGGGAGGGUGGAACACCCGGUGUAGCGGUGGAAUGCGCAGAUAUCGGGUGGAACACCGGUGGCGAAGGCGGCCCUCUGGGCCGAGACCGACGCUGAGGCGCGAAAGCUGGGGGAGCGAACAGGAUUAGAUACCCUGGUAGUCCCAGCCGUAAACGAUGGACGCUAGGUGUGGGGGGACGAUCCCCCCGUGCCGCAGCCAACGCAUUAAGCGUCCCGCCUGGGGAGUACGGCCGCAAGGCUAAAACUCAAAGGAAUUGACGGGGGCCCGCACAAGCAGCGGAGCAUGUGGCUUAAUUCGAAGCAACGCGAAGAACCUUACCAGGGCUUGACAUAUGGGUGAAGCGGGGGAGACCCCGUGGCCGAGAGGAGCCCAUACAGGUGGUGCAUGGCUGUCGUCAGCUCGUGUCGUGAGAUGUUGGGUUAAGUCCCGCAACGAGCGCAACCCCCGCCGCGUGUUGCCAUCGGGUGAUGCCGGGAACCCACGCGGGACCGCCGCCGUCAAGGCGGAGGAGGGCGGGGACGACGUCAAGUCAUCAUGCCCCUUAUGCCCUGGGCUGCACACGUGCUACAAUGGCCGGUACAGAGGGAUGCCACCCCGCGAGGGGGAGCGGAUCCCGGAAAGCCGGCCCCAGUUCGGAUUGGGGGCUGCAACCCGCCCCCAUGAAGUCGGAGUUGCUAGUAAUCGCGGAUCAGCAUGCCGCGGUGAAUGCGUUCCCGGGCCUUGUACUCACCGCCCGUCA